CAGCUCCCUCACCGGAUCCCAGUAAAGCCCCCCGGCCCCUGGGUUGCUGGAACAGCGGCAGGAGGGCAGCGGGACCCUCCAGCUGAGCAGGGGGACCCCCAAACGAGCCUUUGCACCACGGGGAGCAGUUUAUUGACCGUUUGUAGUCGAGGAAGCAACGUAUCAAAAGGAGUCUGCAAAGUCUUCGCAGGUUCUAUUACCAGUCAGAGGGUUUAAUGGAUAACGAGAUAGAUAAUGAGAUUAAUAAGGUGCUGUGUGAUGCUCACCUGCCACGGGCUGCAAGGAAAUUUGGAUCCAGCAUUGGAAACUAUAAAUCAGAAAAUUCUGACUUCUAAGAACCAGCAGCACACUGACACCUCAUUCUCCUGCGCAGCCAAGCCCCUGCUCUGCUCUGAAGGAAGAUGGAGGCCUGGUGGCUCCCUCAGCUCCCCUGUCCCAUCACAGAACACGCGGGAGGAGGCUGGGCUGGGGAGGCUGAGCUCAGCCUAAACACAGCUUCUUCUAGAGGGGGUAACCAAGAUGUUGCCGUUGGUUCUGUUGUAUGUUUAUUUAUAUGUUAUUUGGUGCUAAUGAAAACCAAAUGUUCGGAAUCUAUUCAGUUCUUUAA